rnacentral:rRNA from 1 species
UGGGGAAUAUUGGACAAUGGGGGAAACCCUGAUCCAGCAAUGCCGCGUGAGUGAAGAAGGCCUUAGGGUUGUAAAGCUCUUUCGCCCGCGAAGAUAAUGACGGUAGCGGGAGAAGAAGCCCCGGCUAACUACGUGCCAGCAGCCGCGGUAAUACGUAGGCAGCAAGCGUUGUUCGGAGUUACUGGGCGUAAAGAGUGCGUAGGCGGUUUUCUAAGUUCGGUGUGAAAUCUCCCGGCUUAACUGGGAGGGUGCGCCGAAGACUGGGAAGCUGGAGUGUGGGAAAGGCAGGCGGAAUUCCUGGUGUAGCGGUGAAAUGCGUAGAUAUCAGGGGGAACACCGGCGGUGUAGACGGCUUGCUAGACCAUAACUGACGCUGAGGCACGAAAGCGUGGGUAGCAAACA